rnacentral:ncRNA from 2 species
AUACGUGCUCCGGGGUCGGUGUAAGUCCGAACCGGCGGUUAUAGUCCGCGACCCGCGAGCCGGCACUUCCCUCGGGAAGGCUGCCGGCAGACGGUUGAACCGGUGGAACUCCGGUACCGACAGUUAAAGUCUGGAUGAGAGAAGCACGUAC